AUUUUCUCAUCUUUUCGAGUUUAAUUGAUUUCUCUCCAAUUUUCCAAAUUCUUUAGAGCUUCUUUCCAAUUUGCAGCCCAAGGAUUUGGGGAUGUUGAUGCCAAUCUUUCUUCGUAAUAAUGCCUAACUUAAUUCGAUUUUUUUUGCCAGAUGUUGAUGAUGUUGCUCUCUGUUUCUCUCUGUUUGGAGAUUUGUGGAUGUGAGAAAUUCCACUCAAUCGCUGACCAUGAAUCCUCAUACGAUGACGGAACAGGAUGCUCCAGCGCGCGGCGGUACUGGAUCGAUACGGCAAGGCAGUUAGCAGAUUUGACGAUCUCGGUGACGUAGUUGUGGUAAAUGGGAGAGAAAGGUGACUCGAUGAUCCAAGCUCCGCCGUGGAUGUAGAUGAGAAGAGGUAGAUUAUUACCGGCGGUGGUUUUGUGAGGGAGGAAGAGACGGACGGAGAGGUUAUGCUCCGUUGAUGAUGUGAAUGUCAAAAACAAUGGUGGUCGCACUGCUCUUCAUUAUGCAGCAAGGGAUGGUUGGAAAUCACUCAGCUUUAUUUUAAAUCAAAUGAACGUGUGCCUACUGAGUUGAAGAAAUCAAUCAUGCAAGCCCGAGGGGAGAAGAAGCUCACCCAUUCCCAACUUGCUCAACUGAUCAAUGAGAAGCCACAAGUGAUCCAAGAAUACGAGUCUGGGAAGGCAAGGCUGGUCAGUUGAGUACAUGCUUACAGGUCAGAGAUAUACUCGGUCUAUCAUUGGAAGGUGAAUUUCAGUUUCCACUUACUAGUUUCUUUUCUUGCAAAAUUGAUAUACUGAGUUUAAUAGUAUCCAGGUCUGACCAGAAUAUACACUUGUUAGAAUUUGGGAAUAUGUGAUAGAUGUUAUUAUCUCUAAAACGAGAAAUUUUUGUUUCUUAACUAGAGUUCUGAUUUGAUGUGCAAUUUUAAAAUUUUUGUAAUGUUAAAAUUUUUGUUUUUAAGAACCCCUAAAUAAGAAAUUAGCAUUGGAGUGAAAAAUCAAGGUGUCUCUUAACUAGAGUUCUUAAUUACAUUUAAUUAGUAAAAUAUUUAUUAAGAGAUCUAAAUGGGUUUGUGGGAUAAUGAUGUUAUUAGUUUUCCCACUUUUUUUGCUUUAUUGAAAUUGUGAUAUUUAACAUAAUUUUAGUCCACUAGUCAACAUUUCAAUCACCCUUUUAUGCACCAACCCGUACCAACCAUACCAACGGUUCUACCAAUCAGAAUAUCAAAUAGUAUGACGAUAGACUCCUGAUUGUCUUAGACGAUUACUCUGAUAUCUAUAGAUUAAUAGAAAACCAUCAGCAUUCCGUCACAAGGCACUUUCGUUGAAAGAAAAAACAUUGUAAAGUAUAUAACAAAUCCACUACGCAUACGUCAUCCUCACCCGUCUCGAUAGUCGAUAUAAGUGUUCCUUUACCAGGUUUCAUGCAAAUUAUAAAAAUCAAAAAAAUUGUUUAUACUCAUAACAAAUACAUGCGACUCCUUGAACUUUUGUUAAAUUUCACUUUUUAUGACUCUAAAGUUACAGAAACUUAGAUAUGUCCAUAUAAAAUUUUAUAUUAAAUCCUUAAGAAGAUAUUUUAUGUAACAAAAAAAUCAGUAUAUAACAACAUUUAUUUUGAAACCAGAAGAAUUAUUAGGAUAUAGUGGGUCGAGUAAUUUUAAUGUUUUUCCAAAAUACAUAUACUGUUGUUUAAAUCACAUUAUUACAAAUGAUGCAAAAAAUGAUUUUGGACUAGUUUCCGGUGACUUAAAAACAAAGCUUUUCUCAUGGACCAUUUGGGUACAUUUGUCUAAUUUUUUUCUCAUGGACCAUUUGUUUGUUUUUUCUAAACUCGACGUUGUAGUUUUCUUCUUAAAAAAAAAUAAGCCCCACAUUUUUUAACCCAAUAAAAACCCUUUCCAGGAUGGAGCUACCCAUAACUAGUCAGGGGAAGAGCUACAACGGUUCAGAGACGCACACAUAAGAUACGUAUGAUAUAAUCUAUAAACGAAAAAUAGAUGAUAGAAAAUGUUCAUAGGUUUUUUUUUUUGUAACUUGACAUAAGAUACGUAUAAUAUAAUCUAUAAACGAAAAAUAGAUGAUAGAAAAUGUUCAUAGGUUUUUUUUUUUUGUAACUUGGCUUUCAUAUAUUAAAAUGCAUGAGAAUUAAAAUGUUUACAAGCCCAAAGCUAGUUUAAGUAGGUAAGCCCAGUUUUUGUUAAACCAGAAAUCAGAAAUCAAAAGAGUAAUUAAGCCCAUUAAACCAGUUGAUGUCCAUUAGGUAGGAGGUUACGGAGAGUGAAAGUUGCGGAGUUCGCAAAGGGCAGAGCGAUCGUGAGAGUCCCGAUCAUUCAGUUGAAAACCAAAUUUGCAUCAACUUGGAGCUUAUUGCUGGAUUAGAUGGUCUGAAGGAGGAGAUCCUGUUUGUGACUUGAGUGAUGAUGUUUUUUGUAAUGGAGUCAGUUGAGCGGAAGACUGAGCGGUGAAGACGAGAGUUGCGUUCUGUCCAGAUCGCAUAAAUAUGUAGUGUAGCCACAGGUUGGUGGGGUUCACUGAUAGGCAGUCCAGUUGCCCUGCCCUCUAAUCCACUCCACUCCAUUCCACGACUAUUUGUACAAAACGAAAUAUGAGUUCGUUCAUGUUGGCUAGCUUUGGCCAUUCCAGUUUUCUUAGUAAUUAAUGUAAGUGUAAAAUGCAACAAAAUAAAAUAGCGCAGAAGAUAUAUCAAGGGAUAAUGAAUAUAAGCAAACAUAUAUUAUCAUAUUAGAAAGCAAACACUUUUUGCUAUAUUAGAAAUUAUAUUAAACAAUUUUUUUUGCAAUAUUUGUUCAAUCAUGUUUACGCUAACGCCCUAUCAAUUGCUACCGAACGAUUUUUAAGUUAUAUAAAUUUAUGUUUCUUUGUGGUCUGAUACGUCAACCCUAACUACUCAAGAUGAUCCCAAGAGCACUUACCAAGAGAUUCUCAUUUUUCUUCCAUAAAAUCACCUUUCGGACAUGAUUGGUUCAGUACUUUAGAAGGUUUUGAUGGGCUGAUGGGGGAGAGGAAUGUUCGGGCUAGUCUCUCUCCUCUACAUGCGGAGGUGGAAGCGCUACUCUGGGCAAUGGGAUUUAUGAGAAACUUACAUCAAUUUUAGGUUACGUUUGCAACGGAUUGUUCUCAGUUGGUGAAGAUGGUUUCAGAACCAGAAGAAUGACCAGCUUUUGCAAGUUAUUUGGAAGAUUUAAAAGUCCUGAAAGAAAGUUUCCUUCGUUCAGAGAUUAUCUAUGUACCAAAGACGCAAAAUACGAAGGCGAAUAACUUAGCGCGCAGUGUCAGGAAGCAAACCGUCUUUUGUCAUUCACAUGGAUCAAGAUCUCCCGAUUUGGUUCACAGAAUCAGUAUGAACCUGUAUAAGUUGAUGACAAAAAAAAAAAUCACCUUUCGGUGUCUUAUCGUUUCUUCAUCAAUUUCUUGACCAUUUUAUAAUGUUUUCAUGUUCCCAGAAUCUUAAUCCAAAGAUCUUUAAGAAAUCCAUGAAUAUGUAUAACUUUCAUAUUAAUAAGUAUAUGUUUUUUUUUU